GGCGGAUGAGUGUGUAUGUGAGAGCCUGCUAUUUCUGUAUCUCUCCUGCUGAGAACUUUUUUGUUUUGUUUUUGCCAGCUUGCAAAAGCUGAAGAUUCUGUACUCCAGACAGUGACCCAAAAGGGAGCCUGCUCCUUGGUCCAGGGGUUGCCGUGACUACCACCCUCUAGUAAAAAGUCUGAUGCUGAUGUUACUAGCUCGGCAGCGCUAGUGACUGCAUACGCAGCCCUUCUUCUACUCCACCUCACCACCAGAAAAUAUCUUCAUGUUUUUCUUCCCCAGGGAAUGGCAAGAGGCAAAACAGGGCAACAGAGAUGACGUCAGGACCAUUACAGAUUGUUGGUAUAACCCAGCUGUCCGAGCCCCUUCUUCCUGCAAACGCAAGUCUGAUCUCAUGCAUCGCUGUACCACAGACCAGCUUUCUGGGCUCUCAAUCAAACCAGGAAGGAAGGAAGAAUAUAACUAAGAAUGCUUUCUUACCCUUCUGGCUCAGCAUGCCGCCAUGAACUGUGGUCCAGCCAUGCCCACCUGCCUUGGAGCCAACUGAAUGUGGACUGAAACCUCCAAAAAAACUGUGCUGAGCAAUGGUCGGCAGCCUUGGAGGGAGGCACUUGGAUGCCUUGCUUGGCAGCUCUGGACCGGGCACUUGGGAACUGUGAGCUGGUGUGGUGAAGAGCACAGGCAUUAGAGUCAGAGGACUGGGGUUGAGUUGCUGGUGUGACCUUGAGCAAAUGACCUUGCUUCUGCAUCCUGCUUCUCCUGUGACCCCCCGUGCUUCUCUCCGUACUAGUCACAGCCUCCAACACUCUCAAAUUAUGUUUGUAACAGAGCCCUUCCCAGCCCACUGGUUUGAUUUCCUGUCCUUAUCAUCAUCUCUGAUCCCAAGAAGUAGGUGCUUUGUUUCCGUUUAUAAAAGAAAAGACCAGAAAAGCUUAUUUGGAACGAAUAAAUAAAUAUGAGUCUGUUUUUUCACUGAGCUUGGCACUAGUAAAUAAUUUUAAAGCUCAUCAUGAUGAAAAGGAUUGUUAGGCAAAUAAGACCCCGAUGUUAAUGGAACUUCUUACUUGGUCAACUGUCACUUUGUGUCCCCUACAAGGCUACCCUAGUAUGUGACAUCUAUCAUCAGACUAAGUGCUGGGGUUAUCUGCUGCAUGUUGAUCACACCACCAAAGUGACAACCCAAGGCCCAGAUUUGAUCAUGUCCCUCGUUUAAUUAGAUACUCCAGUGACUGUCACCAUCCAAAGAACUAAACCCACACUUGACUGCCAAAACCAUUGCUAAUGGGAUCCAAAGACCUACUCCUUGCCUCAUUGCUGCCUCUCCCUGUCUCUCCUUUACCAUGUCUGUGCUGUGCGAGAACAGAUUUCACCUUUCUGAGCACAUUCUGCCCAUCCACGCUUCCAGGCCUCAGAGCUUCUAUGCGUUUGCCAAAACACAACACAAAUGUACCUCUGCGAUGCUUAGGGGUAGACCUGCUCUCCUUAAUGCACGCACAGCAUUCUGUUGAGUGACGGAAGCAUCAGACUACUUUUCUGGCUUGGGAAUAAACUGCCAAGACAUUGGUCCAUGUUCUGCUUUCCUCUGUACCCUCAGCACAAUGAUUAGCAGGUCAUAGAGGAUUAAUAGAUGAAGGAAUGCACAGACCUAGUCUCAUGGAUUUCAAGCUACUUUUCUGAGAAAAGCACUUAGUACAUGAUUUCUGGAGUCAGCCAGCCUGGGAUUCCAGUUCUAAUUCUGUUGCUUGCAAACAAAUUUAGCCAGGUUGCUUUGUAUCUUUUCCUUAGUUGAUAAAUGGGAAUAAUAGCGACCUCAUAGAGCUGGAGGGGAUUAAGUAAAACAUGAGGCUAUUCAGCAGUGCCAGGGACAACCAGUGAGUGUAACUAUGAUCACUGGACCAAGGUAUCCAGGUUCCUGUGACAGAUUCCACUGUGGGGCUCUGCGUAGCUGCAAGACCAGCUCGGAAGAGCAGAGAUUCUGUUGGUGCCGGUCCACAGGAGAGGCAGGCCACUGACCCUGGUCCUGUCACUUGGCUCUAACUGCAUUUGAAGAUUGGGGGAGAGGGAGUCAAAUGUCUAGAGAAGUAAGAAAACCAGGUAAGCAGGCAGCACAGUGGUGGGUUUUAUUCCUAGUUACAUUCCACAUGGGCAAUUCACCUCUUUCCUCACUGCUUCCCUUGAUGACCAUCGUUAGUGAUUGUUAAUAGAGGUAAAUGUUGACAUUCCCCAGAUGAGGUUUGCAUUUUACCUGAGUCCUGUAUUUCUUGGGCAAGAACCCAAACUAAUCAAGCCAGCUUGGAAAAAGCAGCAGAUGGAGGCAUAAUCUGCACCUUUAAUUACCAUGGAGGCCUUGAAAUUGAACACGCAGAGGGAAAAUCAAUGAAUUGAUUAAUUUUAUUUUCCCUUAACCAUUUAAUCUUUACCUGGACCAUAUGCACCUCUGUGUAGUAUGUAUUCUUCUAAAUAUUUCUAAAUAUUUGCAAAUACAGUUUUUCAUCAACUGCUGAUUUUAUUUUGUGGUUAGGAAGCAUUUAGUGACUACGCUAAGGAAAGGUGAAGGUUUAGCCCUUGAGAAGCCAGGAUUCGUGAUGACCUACCCAAGCAAUUUGAGUUGCUGCCUUUAAACUUAAACACGUUGGCCUUGGUGUACCACUUACACUGCCAGGAAAAUAAACCAGGUCUAAGGGUCUCCUGUGCUAGCAUAUUUGCAAGCUUGAUUUGGCAUGUGUUCUUCAUAAAGCUGGUUUCCGAGUCCCUCUGCUCUGGCCCGGGUCAGUGCAGGAGGGCCACUAGCAGUUUCUGGAAGUCACCAGAGGUGUCUGAGCUGACCAUGUCUGAGAGGGACUUCUGAUACUUCUCUUGGAACUUGGCCUUGAUCCCUUGAAGGUCCACCUGUAGGGAGGAUGGCGAUACGAGGCAUGGGAUGUUAAUACUGUGUUCCCUGUGAACGGCAGGUGCUUCCUAAACUCGCUUAUGCUUUCAAUCCACCUGUGAGGUAGAACUAGUAUUAUUUCCACUUUUUUGGAUAAGAAAAAGAAAAUUAACUUAAGUCCUUCCAAGACAGAAGAAUUGUCUGUGUGCAUACUCCAUUCGAAUUUUAUUUAUGGGAACCAAAACUUGAAUAUUAUAUGCUUUUAUGUGUUACAAAAUAGUAUUUUCCCUUUGAGUUUUUACAUGAUUUGAAAAUGAAUACUUCUUCUAUUACAGGACUGUACAAAAGCAAGUGGUGGGCCCCUGGUAGAAGAAAGUUGUAGACACAGAGGUUUGAGAUUAAUUUUCACUUGUACCCUGAUUGGCAAGGAUAUUAGUAUCCACAAGUUAUCAAGCAAAAUCAAAUCCACAAGUAUCAACAAAAUUCAAAUCAAUAUCCAUUGAUAGAACUUAGAAUUGGACUUUGAAUCCAAUUCACUGAAAUUACAAAAAUCUAAGUGUUAAAGGUAGUAUUUUUAAGAAAAAUAUAGAUAAAAGAUUGCCCUGCCGAAGAUGCUUUAUAGCUAAUAAGGGAGAUAACUCUUACAUAGAAAGGAUGUGAUUCCAAAGUGAACAAAAUGAGCCCCAUUAAAAGAAACAUGGAACUCUCUUCAACCAGGAGAGUCUUUUCUUUUCUCUUUGGGUUAGACCCUACGCUACACCCCAGAUCUAGAUAUCUGGUCUCUCUUCUCCUACUCAGUUAGAGGCUGAACUGAGAGAGAAAAUGAGAAAGGCCAAGGUGGAGGAGGGAGGGAUUGUUUGAAGUGGAUGCUGAACAGAGGAGAGAGGCUGCUGGAGGCAGGCAGAGGGUAUCCCCUUGCUGCCCCGCUUGGGGGUCCUCUUGAUCUCUGAACUGCCUCCUUGCCCUGGGUGAGGGAGAGUGUAGGACUAGGGCCCCACGACCCUGUCCUACUGCUCUGUGGCUUUGGGGUAUUAGGGAUCUGGCUAAACAAUGUUGACCUGGGUCUGAGCAUCCUGAAGAAACUGCCCCCAUGUGGAGAUGACCAGCACAUGUGGUCAGCACUAAAAUGGGGAGCAUCUUGGAACUAAACAUGCCCUGGUCCACGUUGGAGUAGACCCAAAAGUGAGAGAGCCCUCUGGGUAGCUCUGACCUCCCUGGGGCCUUUUGGAGCCUGGGGCUGAAACUUCAUUCCCUCAAGAGUCUCUGUGACUUUGGCUGGCAGUUGCAUUGCUAAGAGCAGGGCCUGGAGGGAGAAGGGAGGGAGCAUGUGAGGAAAGAGCAGAACGCCAGGGGAGAAGCGAGGCUGGCCAAGGGAGCCGGAGGAGAGAGGACCGGACUCAGGGUUAGAGAGGACCAGACUUUGAGACAGAAGAAAACAACGAGUUGUGGGGGAAGAGGAGACAAGCGUGUGUGAGAGGGAGGCAGGGGAGAGAUUCCAGGAACAGAAAUAAAAGUGAGAGAACCAUCUUGAUGCAAAGUUAUAUUUAAAAACAGCAUCAGCUGUUAAGUAUUUGUCGAAAAUGGGUCAGAAUUUGGCUUGCUACCCUUCUUCCUUUAUUUAACAUUUUUUUUUUGUUUUUGAGGGAAGAUGCGUGUGGCUUUCAACUGUCCAGUUCCACUUCCUUUUCCCGGGCUUCCAGCAGCAGAUGAAGUUCUCCACUACUCCCCUUGCUCUGUGGCCCUGCGUCCCAAAGCCUUAGCUGUGUGCUUUGGCAGCGCCCACAGGCUCCUCAUUCCUUUCUUUUACUAAGACACAAAUAUCCUCCUCUGAAGGGACAAAUAGUGGUGUCUAGGGGCUUAAAAAUCUCUGUCUUUUAAUGCAUAAAGCUGCACCUCUGUUCCUGGGAAUAAACCAUUCAUAUGACACAUACACAAUAUUUGUGGUGUUAAACCGCUUCCUGUGCGUGAAGCCACGGUGAGCCUAGAAAGGCUUCCUGGGGGCAGUCACAAAAAGAGGUGGAGAAACAUUCUGCGAAAAGGACAUGUAAAAUUUUGCUUCUGUACGUUGAAUUAAAUAAACACCCCACUCAGGAGAGGGGAGGUCAUCUGCUUCUUGUCCCUGUCAUGGUGACCUCUGUCAGUGUCUCUGUUUUGUCUCCUUAAGAUGGAGCCAGGAGUAUCUGUGCUACCUCCAAAUGGCUCUGCCAGCUCCCUGUGCACAGCGCCACCAGCUCUCCGGAGCCACAGAAGACAAAAAUAGCAGCCAGGAUCAUUGCUGUAUUUGUAUAAAAAGAACCAGACUGAGCAGAGCACAGUCUUGAGGACAUUCUGGGAAAGCAAGUGCUGCCUGCCCCUCUUCCUGUAAAUCGGCCUUUGAAAGAAACUACAAGCUGAUGACAUCAGUGGUGGACGAAGAGAAAUGACUGUCGCCUCUUUGGAGUCCAGGGUGUCUUACCUCAGCCCUGGUGAUGAUGAUUCGGAUUAACGUGUCCUCAUCAGUUCCCACGCCCUUCAUGGCCUUGUACAGUCGGUCAGCAAAGUAGCCCUCGAGGUCUCGGGCGCAUCUCACUGCGGGACAAGGAAGGAGAAUGUGAUGCAUUCGUGUUGAAUGUAGGGGACACUCCAGGGCCCAGGGCAGCCCAGGGGGUCACUGGGUCACCCUUGGGGCUGCCUGGCUUACAAGGCAGCAUCUGAAGGAGCUGACUCCCCACUGUGGAGAAAGGAGACCCGAAAGAUGCCCCACGUCAGGACACCUGGGCUCUUCAGCCAGAGCCAGGUGGGAGCCAUGGCAGGACAUCGGGGGUCUCUGCACCUUCAGUGCCCUCCCAUGCUCACAGGAUGACUGUUCCUACCUCAGGGACCAGAGGAGGGCACAGGGCCCCGCGGGCACAGCUUGGCUGUGGGCCCUUUAAUAGACUUCACCGUGAAGGUUUCCUCCUCUGCUGCACCCCCCUCAGCCUUCCCUCCCCGGCUCUCUUUGCUAAUUUGCUCUGCGCAGCUCCUCUCUGACUCUGCUCCAUGCUCCUCUCAUCAGCUCAGCUAGAGAUCCGCGGUGUGUGCUGGGGCUGAUGGCUGAUUCUGUCCAAAGAUCCCUUUUCUCUGUGCUACUUCGGGGCCUUCCCUGCCCACCGGUUUGGCUUUGGCUAUGACGUGGAAGUGUAGCUUCUACUUCCUGACUACUAACCAGGUGGUUAGGUCCCUCUCCACCCUGGGGCUGGGUUUUCACCUUGCCUCCUUUCUCCCAGACCCCCGUGUACCACCAGGCCUAGCGCUUAAGAGGAACAAACCAUUUACUCUUUAGGUGGUUAACGUUUCUAUAGAACAUUUGUACUAUUUAAUGUUAGGGACUAAUAAUAAAUUCAGCCUAAGUGUAAAA